AAACCAGCACCUCAAGUGGUCAGGAUGAUUAUUGGGCCUAAAGCAUCCGUAGCCUGCUUUAUCAGUUUUCGGUUAAAUCCACACGCUCAACGUAUGGGCUGCCGGGAAUACUGUAAAGCUAGGGAGUGGGAGAGGUAGACGGUACUCGGGAGGAAGGGGUAAAAUCCUUUGAUCUCUCGAUGACCACCUGUGGCGAAGGCGGUCUACCAGAACACGUCCGACGGUGAGGGAUGAAAGCUGGGGGAGCAAACCGGAUUAGAAACCCGUGUAGUCC
rnacentral:rRNA from 1 species